rnacentral:rRNA from 1 species
UACGUAGGGGGCGAGCGUUGUCCGGAUUUAUUGGGCGUAAAGAGCUCGUAGGCGGUUCGAUAAGUCGGACGUGAAAUCUCCACGCUCAACGUGGAGGGGCCGUUCGAUACUGUCGUGACUCGAGUCCGGUAGGGGAGUGUGGAAUUCUCGGUGUAGCGGUGAAAUGCGCAGAGAUCGGGAGGAACACCCGUAGCGAAGGCGGCACUCUGGGCCGGUACUGACGCUGAGACGCGAAAGCGUGGGGAGCAAACAGG